rnacentral:misc_RNA from 1 species
GAAGUCGUAACAAGGUCUCCGUUGGUGAACCAGCGGAGGGAUCAUUACAGGACUCGCAAGACUCCUUCACCCUGUGAACCUCACUACAAGCACGUUGCUUCGGCGGGUGUCCCGGCGGGGGUUUUCCCUCGCCGGGGCGCACAGCCCGCCGGCAGCCUACUAUACUCUGUCUCUUUGCGUUGGCAUCUCGAGAAAAAACAAACAAGUUAAAACUUUCAACAACGGAUCUCUUGGUUCUG